rnacentral:rRNA from 1 species
AGAGCGAACGCUGGCGGCAGGCCUAACACAUGCAAGUCGAGCGCCCCGCAAGGGGAGCGGCAGACGGGAGAGUAACACGUGGGAACGUACCCUUUGGUUCGGAACAACACAGGGAAACUUGUGCUAAUACCGGAUAAGCCCUUACGGGGAAAGAUUUAUCGCCAAAGGAUCGGCCCGCGUCUGAUUAGCUUGUUGGUGAGGUAACGGCUCACCAAGGCUACGAUCAGUAGCUGGUCUGAGAGGAUGAUCAGCCUCACUGGGACUGAGACACGGCCCAGACUCCUACGGGAGGCAGCAGUGGGGAAUAUUGGACAAUGGGCGCAAGCCUGAUCCAGCCAUGCCGCGUGGAUGAUGAAGGCCCUAGGGUUGUAAAGUCCUUUCGGACGGGAAGAUAAUGACGGUACCGUAGAAGAACGCCCGGCUAACUUCGCGCCAGCAGCCGC